rnacentral:rRNA from 1 species
UACGGGAGGCAGCAGUGGGGAAUAUUGCACAAUGGGCGCAAGCCUGAUGCAGCCAUGCCGCGUGUAUGAAAAAGGCCUUCGGGUUGUAAAGUACUUUCAGUCGUGAGGAAGGUGUUAAGGUUAAUAACCUUAGCAAUUGACGUUAGCGACAGAAGAAGCACCGGCUAACUCCGUGCCAGCAGCCGCGGUAAUACGGAGGGUGCGAGCGUUAAUCGGAAUUACUGGGCGUAAAGGGCACGCAGGCGGUUAAUUAAGUUGGAUGUGAAAUCCCCGGGCUUAACCUGGGAAUGGCAUUCAAGACUGGUUAGCUAGAGUCUUGUAGAGGGGGUAGAAUUCCAUGUGUAGCGGUGAAAUGCGUAGAGAUGUGGAGGAAUACCGGUGGCGAAGGCGGCCCCGUGGACAAAGACUGACGCUCAUGUGCGAAAGCGUGGGGAGCAAACAGGGAUUAGAUA